AGUCACUGCCUCUGGAAGUGUCCAGGAGGUCUGGAUGUGGCACUUGGGGGUAUGUUUUGGGGUGAUCAUGGUGUGCUGGGUUGGCAGUUGGACAGGAUGGCCUUGAGGGUCUCUUCCACCCUUGAUGAUUUUGUGACUUGUUUCCAGCUCAAGCGCGACCAAGGCCUGUUAAAUGCAAGUCCUGUUUUCAAAGUUUUCUCUCCUUUAUCUGCCAACAAAAUGAGAGGUUUUUAUGGAACCGGCAGUUAGCAAAAAUUCAUCUCCAUUUACCAGGUACAGUUUCCUUGUUUUCUUUGAAGAGGGAAAGAACAUCCAUCUCCAGGCAACCCAGAGGAUACCUUCAUGGACAAAUCACCACGAAGCAAGUGAGGGUGUGGAUUCACAGCAUGUUACCUACUCCACCCGAUGGCUUCUCUUUAGGGUGUAUGGAGGUUCUGCCUCCCUUCCACUGAGAUGCAAACUGCACUCUCCUCAGCAGGGCUGGGAUUACAUGGGCAUCCCAGAGAAGCUGGAUGUGUGUUGGAUGCCUUGCUGCUGUGUACUGUAA
rnacentral:lncRNA from 1 species